CAAUAGCGUAUAUUUAAGUUGUUGCAGUUAAAAAGCUCGUAGUUGGAUUUCGGGUGGGACGCAGCGGUCUCGCAUUGCGUUUGUACUGCUGCAGCCCUCCUUCUUGCCGGGGGCGGCCUCUCGGACUUCACUGUCUGGGGGUCAGAAUCGGCGAUGUUACUUUGAGUAAAUUAGAGUGUUCAAAGCAAGCUUACGCUCUGAAUAUAAUAGCAUGGGAUAACACGACAGGACUCUGGCCUAUCGUGUUGGUCUAUAGGACCAGAGUAAUGAUUAAGAGGGACAGUCGGGGGCAUUCGUAUUCCGUUGUCAGAGGUGAAAUUCUUGGAUUUACGGAAGACGAACUUCUGCGAAAGCAUUUGUCAAGGAUGUUUUCAUUAA
rnacentral:rRNA from 1 species